GUCCUGCUCAGCCUGAUUCCUCACAACUACAUACUACACAGACCAACGCCAGGCCCAUUCCUUUCUCUAUCCCUCAUCCUUUGAGCAGUCCACAUGCAAUACAGCCCAGGGUUUGGUCCUCUCACUGAAGAAUAAACUGGUUCUCAUGUUGACCAUGAAUGUCUCAAACAGCUGGAUAGACCCAUGGAAGGUGAUCAGGUGGCUCAGGUCAUACUUUCCACCAUGGCCCCCACAUGGAGGGCGGCUGGCUCAGCAUCCCACGCACCCACAGGCUGGGGUUUUCAGGGCUCAGAAGAGGCAGGUAUGUAUAUGGUGCACAGGAGUGGUGAGUUUGCACACGUUCCCAUGUGUAAGGUCUUAGUGUGGGUAUGCAGAUGUCUCAGGUGUGCGCAUGUGCAGCUGUCUAUUAUCUGUGCUGGUUGUUAUUAAGUGUAAAUAUAUGCAACAGAAGCAUAUAAUAUACUUGUGUUUGCACAGGUAAUCCAUUGCUUGCGUGAGCAUCUAUGGGUAUGUAAGAUUUCACAACUGAAACAGGUAUCGUCUGAGCAGAUGCAUAUACACUAUACACAGAAGUGCAUGAUACUGGGAUAUAAAUAGGUGUGUGUGUGUGUGUGUGUGCGUGCACAUGUGUGUGCUUUCUUCAUAAGUAUGCAUUUAAGUAUGUUCAUGUACAUAAAUGGGGGGAGCAUAGAUAUGUUUAUGUAAGGUUUAUGCAAUUUGUGGGGGCAUCCUGAUGUAGGAAUAUGGGUUAGUGUUCUGCCUGUGUUUGUGCUUGAUUGAGUGAGUGUGUGCUGAUUUCUUUGAGCCAGUGGAGAGGUACAUUUGUGAGGUAUGUCUGUGCCUGUGGCAGUCAUGUGUGAGUGCACAUGGCAAUGGUAGCCUCCGGCUGCCUUUUCUUUCUUUUCUUCCUAGGAAAUCACAGAACUUCUAAGUCCUAACCACAGCUAAUGGCACUUCCAGGAACAUGAUUUCCUGGAACCCCCAAAGUAAGACUGGGGGGCACAGUAAGGAGAGAAGACACCUCGAGCUGGCAGAAACACACACUACCACGCUUGCUAUGGCCCACAGUCUUCCACGUGAGGAAACCGAGUCAGGCCAGAGGAGCGAAGAAGAAAACAAGGUGCACCCUGACCUCAGAUGCCUUCUUCCAUCAUCAGAACGGUGGCUUCCGGACUCGGCCGGCCGUGCUAACCCCCGCGUGUGGUUCUGUGGUUGCCCACAAAGCCUAAAAAUAGCCAACAGGAACCGGGGAAUCCCCACUGGUGAAUGGAGACGGCCAUUCCCCAGGUGUCUGCUGACCUGCCUCCGUCACAGCCUUGUACUGUCUAGAGAGAGCUGGGUUCUGGGGAAUGUGCGGGAGGCCAUGCCCAGCCUGGAACAGAGGAAACCGAGAGAGGAACUGACCCAUCUGAAGCUAAGGAAUGCCAAUCUCACCCCUACUGCCUCUUCUUUAUCUUGUGCUGGGGGCACAAGUCAAAGAGCAGGACCUCAUAGCUUUCUAGACCUUGCUUUAUACUGCAGCUUCCCUAGUGACUCCCUGUAUCCUUGGUUGCCUUACCUGCACAGUAGGGGUGGGUGCAUUGCCCGCUUGUAGGAGGAUGUGGUUGGUAUCAAGGGAAAUAAGGCCCUUGGCACCAAAGCAGGGCCAGCAUUGCUGCUAGAACUCAGUAGAUAGACACCAUGCUUCCAAAGUAGGAGAAGGCCAUUGUGCCCCCCUCCCAUCAAAGAAGUAAGAGCACCCACAGGAGGCAGGGAGACCCCUGUGACAGACGAUGGCCGUCUACAGCUAGUCUCUGGAGUAUUUGCAGUUCUUUGAACAGAAACCUUAUCAUUUUCCAUAGAAAGAUGGAGUCCAUCACCUUUCCUCCGAAAACUGUCACCUUUGGAAUUUCCUCAAUGAAGAGGAAGUGGCAGAAGUGACGCCACAUCACUUCCUAAGCGUAACCUUAGCUGAAAGCUGGUGAUGGUGACAAUGAUGACAUCCCUCAUGAGAAAACCCCUGCCCCAGCUAAUGUCACAGCCGACAGCCAGCCCCAGCACAGUGACAUGGAAGGACUCUUCAAGUGACUCUACCCCCCAGACAUCCCCCUAACCCCCACGACAGGAAAGGUCACCUAGAGCAGAAGCUACCUUCCCCUGAGCUCUGUCAGGAGGCAGGCUUUAGAGCAAAACAAUGUCAUUGUUCCAAGCUACUGUCUCGCGUGGCUGGUGACAAGACAAUGAGUUACAGGGAUACCUUGCAGCUCAUGGCAGAGACUCUGCAGUCACCCCACCUGCUUUUGUGCCGCGGGCUGAGCUGCAGAGCUCAGGUUUGGGGCCCUUGGACAGGUCACCAACUUUUAUGUCAAGUAUCUGUCAUAGAAGAACCUCUCAAAGGAACUGGGGUUUGAGUGGAGCAGCUGGGAGCAAGGAGGGGUGAGUUUUAUGGGCCUGGGCAGAGAGCAGUUCUGAGGGGCCACAGUCUGUGAGUUCCAUCCAGUAAGAACUUCACCACAAGCUGCUCAUGGGCUGACCACAGUAUGAGAGGAGGCUCAGGAGGGCUGGUCAGGCCCUGCUCAGUGCUGAGGGAGGGAAGGGCAGAGGAAGGAACAGCC
ensembl:lncRNA